UUUUUUAAAAUUUAAACCUAUGUAUUUGGAAGUGAGGUGUGAUUCCUCUACUGUGCCGCAACGGUAAUGCUCGUAAGAGAUAAGUCCGAUCUUAAUACAACGGUGUUUCCCGAGCAGGAGAAAUCUACUAUU
rfam:Parcubacteria (Nomurabacteria) bacterium GW2011_GWF2_36_19 TS08_C0002, whole genome shotgun sequence.